rnacentral:rRNA from 1 species
UACAGAGGUCCCAAGCGUUGUUCGGAUUCACUGGGCGUAAAGGGCGCGUAGGCGGUCGGGUAAGUCUGAUGUGAAAUCUCACAGCUUAACUGUGAAACUGCAUUGGAUACUAUCCGGCUAGAGGAAUGGAGGGGAGACUGGAAUACUUGGCGUAGCAGUGAAAUGCGUAGAUAUCAAGUGGAACACCAGUGGCGAAGGCGAGUCUCUGGACAUUUCCUGACGCUGAGGCACGAAAGCCAGGGGAGCAAACGGG